rnacentral:lncRNA from 1 species
CCUCUGAGUCCUCGUUCCGCCUGAAAGGAGACUGAGGCCCUUUAGUUUCCUUCCCGCUCAGCACAGUUCUCCUCUGCUUGUUCAGAGCCAGAGCCAAUGGAGGCGGAGACUGGGAAUCAGCAUAGUCUCCGUGCAGUGCACAGAGGCACUGUCUGGAGGUGCCGACCUUGAGAACAGAACUUUGUCCCUCUUGGGUCCCUGUAAUGCAGGGCACACCUGGGACCUAUUUGGGACUUUGCAGGGACAGCUGCCGGUACCUGACAGGCCCGGAGCCUCCGGAUCAUCUGCAGGCCCAUUUGGAUGGCCCUGUUGGGGAGAGGCAGGAGGUGCAGCUGGAGGAGGUAGAGGAAGGACAGACAGCUCGUCUGCACGGAAGGAGGCAGCGCGGAUGUUUGCAGCGACAGAUGGCAGCAUCCGGCAGAGCCCUGGAAGCCGGGUGAGGAGAGGAGGGGAGGCCGGCCAGACUCCUCUGCAGCUCUCAGGCCUCCCGCACAAGCUCAGCCUGCCUGGCACACACGUGGAGAUUCUCCCCUCCCUGUGUGGCGCUAAGGCACCUUGGUGAGCUCCUCAUGGUCCACAUGGGCUGCGAGUGUGUGGGAUGGCCUGGGGCGACUGGAGAAGUCUGUUCACCUGGCCCUUUGGGAGCCAAGUGGAGGAGGCUCCAGAUCAGCCCCAGAAACCCUGUUCGCUGUUCUCAGUGAGGGCGUCUGCCACGAGACUGGGGCCAGAGGGGCCAUGUAGGGAUGAGGAGUGGCGGUGACUGGGAGGUGAGGAUGGCCAGAAAGUGCUAGUCUCCCAUCAUCCCUCUGUCUUGGUGAACUCCGCUGUAUCUUAGAAUCCUGCUUGACCCGGCUCUUCAGGAAGCUGCCCUGGCAGGCCGGGCUGAGCCUGAAGAUGCCUGGCCUGGCUCUGUGGCCUCUGUGAGCCCCGGCCCCUCCUGGCCUCAGUUCUAGCUGGAGGAAACAGGACUCCCUCCUCAUCCUGGGAAGGCGGUCUCUUCCUCUCAGCGGGACUUUGAAGAGGCCGUGAAGAACCCACAGGGCCCUGCAGCAGUGGAACCAGACACCCAGAUUCACCACCCUGGAGUCGUUCCCAGCCUAGCACAGAGCCUGGGAAACAGAUGGAGAAAGCGUAGGGUGGGAGGGCCCAACAUCCUGGGCGGCUGGGGAAAUGACAGCAGCCGGGAUCCCAGCACUUAGCAUGGGUCAGUUAACAAUGCAUCCGGCCCCACCCAGCCUGUGAGGAGCCCCUUCUGUUCCUCACGCUCACACACCUGAAACUGACUCUCUGCUGGGCUCACUUGUCCACACUGCUGCUACUACCACCGCCACAGGGCCAGGAUUAGACCCCAGACAACCUGGACCGGAAGUCCACACUCCCAUCCACGGAACUACAAAACAAAAUGAAAACCAUCUCUCCCUCUGGCAGGGAUGACGGAUAAUAGGUUUGAUGCCAUCAAGUGCUGCUGAGGUCACCUCACCACCACCACCACCACGGGGAGCCCACGUCUGAUUACCUAGGGAGCCCCAAGAGUUCGGGUCAGAGUGGAGCGAACAGCUCUUUCAUCUCAUCUGCGUUUAGGUUGCCAUGCAGGAAAGAGUCGUGCAUUGCUUUGGUUUGUAACUCAUUUAAAAGGAGAAUGGGGGCAGUGAUACAGGGACAGCAUGUGCGAGGCCCGAGUUGCAUCCUUAGCCCAUCCCCCAAACAGAUGGGGGAGUAUGUUGGGGAAAGGGAAUCAAAGAUGGACAGAAUGGAAGGCUCUCAGACAGUUGUCCCUGACCGUGACCUCCUGCAGGCUUUGUCUGGGCGAGGCCUGUUCUUUUAUUGGGCACAUAUGUAUUUUCUGGGGGCCCCUAGGUCCUCGGCUCUGUGCCGGGCUGUGUGCUCUCCCCAGGCACACCCAGGGUGUGUCCCGACAGAGGGGCUCCCCUUCUGUCCCUGUCUGGGCGCUCUGUGGUAACAAGGUCAGGGCUGCAGGGAGGAGCCAGUUCUGGCCAGAGCUCUGAUCUGUGACGGGCUGUUCCCCGGAGCAGCUGCUACAACAACAUUUACUUUGUACAGUGGCCAAGAGAGAGAGCAAGAAAAGGAAGAGAGAGAGAGAGAGAGAGAGAGAGAGAGAGAGAGAGAGAGAGAGAGACAGAGGGAGAGAGCACACAAGCCUACUCUAUUGCAAAAUGUUUCUGACAAAAUCUGGCACUCCUGGUUCUAAUCAAAAUACUGAACUUUGGAACAAAUUAACAUUCCACAGCCCUCACUGGGAAGGAGAAUUCAGCCGAGACGACUUCAGUUCACAACAACAAAAAUAGCUUCUCCCGGGGAAGACACAUUCUGCUAACAAGGUCACUUGUGUUUUGCUUCCCCUGCCAUCUGGCUGAGCGGCAACCAGGGGCUGGCACUGGUACCAGCGUCUUGUGUGGAGAGGGGCUGGGAACCGGGUGGUGCCGCUGAAGGCUUCUCAGCCUCCUGGCAAAGGGUGUAGGCGUGGAGUUACCUUCAGACAGUCCCAGAACUGGGGCAGAUGGAGCCCAGUCUCACCCAGCCGGGCUCAGCUUCGAGCUCCGAGCAGCAGGAGGUGUGACACCAGCACACAGCAACAAGCAGAUCUGGAGGCCAGAAGUGUGAAAUCAAGAUGUUGUCAGGGCUCUGUUCCUUCUGAGACCUUCUGAGACCUUCUUUGCCUCCUCCCAUUUUCUGGCACACCAGUCAUAUUGGAUUAAAGGCCCAAGACUCCAUUCUGACCUCAUCUUGGCUAAUUGCAUCUCCAUGACCCUAUUUCCAAAUAAGGUCACAAUCUCAGGUACUGUGAAUUGGGACUUCAGCAUCUUUUUGCAGGGUUGGUGAGGGACAUACAAUUCAAUCCACAGGCAACAAAGGAAGCCUUAGCUCUUUCUUUGUCUGAAUUUUUUCCCUCUCAUUUUGUUCUCUUAAAGAAUCAUGGCAGGGCCCAGUUCAAAGUUCACCUUCUUGGUUAUUUUUCCUGAAUAACCCAGGAGAAAUGAGUCACUUCUUUGCCUAUCUUUAUAGCCUUUUUGCAUUUCUAUUAAAGAAUCUAUCACAUUGUGUGUAACCUGAGGGCAGAAGCCACCUUAUUCACCUGGGAAUAGAGCUCAGAGUUCCUGAAUCCCAUUUAGAUCUGCUCUAUGGAGUUGAUGUUCCCUAUGGGGAUAUUCCAGUCACAUGUUCAAAACAAAACAAAACAAAAAACUGUGAGUCUGUAGAUAAAUGAAAACAAUGGGGACUCUGUAUUAUUUAGUUUUCUAUUUUAGGCAUUUUAUCACUAAGAACUACUUUGCAUAAACAGGGUUGUAUCUAAAUGUCUUCCUAUGUGAAGUUCCCAUUUUUGAUUGGCUAUAAUAUUUCAACAUGUAAAAAUAGUGUUUUAAUGUAAAUGCAGUAUAAUUGGGUUUCCCAACCUUGCACUGUUGAUAUUCUAGGCUGGAUUAUUCUUUAGCAGGGGGCUGUCUUGUGUUUUGCAGGAUGUGGAGCAGCACCCCAACCUUUAUCAAACAGAUGCUUCUAGCAUUGCUUAAUUCAGUUGCGACAACCAAAAAAUGUUAGUGUCUCCUGGUGUGUGUGUGUGGCAAAAUUACCCCUAGUUGAGAAGAAUGAGAAUAUUCAUUUAGGGGUUGGAAAUCUUAAAGUUGUAAAAAUCAUCCAAAUUUCUCUUUAUCUUGCUUUCUGUUAAAUACUUUCCUGUGUUGUAAGGCUGCUCUGCUCUGAGACCACUGGCACCGUGAGCAGAUGGCAUGACUUGGCUGUCCCCUGCUCCUGCCUCCGUGCACCUGGGACCUGUGGGUGGCCUCGUUUGCAUGGAGGAAAAAGAUAAUAUCCCUAUUUAUUACAAAGACUCAGGCAUUUGAAGGACCCAACCAAUGGUGUGACAUGUGUGGGCACAUGAACUUCACCUUGGAUGCCCCAGAAGUUUCUAGAGCUGACUUCCUUUAACUAGAAGGAAUAUGACUGUGGUCUUAGAAGAAAGACAUUACCUGGAGGAAGUUGAAAGCCAGCAUGCAGAGAAGGAAGACUACGGAAGGGCUCAGGCAGCUACACAGCUCUGCAGAACAAAAUGUUCUUGUCCAGGCCAUGGGGCCACAGGCUGGGACAGAGGGGAGGAACAAUGAUGUCAUGGAAUGAGAAGGAGUUGGGAACACUAUUGGAAUGAAUGUUCCAUUGAUUACACGAGUUGCUGACAAGCAACAGCAGAAAUGGAGCUGGGUGAUCAGUCUCAAAUUCUCCCCCUGACAUUUGCAAGAAAAGUGGUGAACACAUCCCAGACACCCACUUCCUACCCCCGUUAUGUGUAUGAGGUAAGCGAUCUGGCCUUGGACGUUAAAUCUCCUCUCUUAAUAGACUCCUGGACAUGCCAGAAUGUCUGCUGGGUCUGAAUGUCUUAUUUCAAUGCAGGCUCCCAUCUUUUUUCAGUGUGUUUAAUUAAAAAUAAAUAAAGCAGUCCAUUCGGAGGGCUUUUCCUCCCACUGAUGGAUGAGGCGAGUACUCGGGGACUCUUCAGCAGGGUGGACAGCUUGGCAAAGAUGUCUGUGUCCUAAUCUCUGGGACCCGAGAUUAUGUUACCUUCUGCGGCAAAGGGGAUUUUCCAGAUAUGAUUAAAUUAAGGGUCUUGAGCUGAAGAGAUGAUCCUGGAUUAGCUGGGUGGGUCCUCAGCAGAGGCAGGCACUUGGGGGGGAGGCUGGAGGCAGAGCAAUGAUAAAAGCAGAAGUCCGAAAACGAAAACGCAGCACAACAAACUAAGGAACACGGUGACCUCUAGACGCUGGAAGCAGCAAGGACUCGGAUUCUCCCCUUGAGCCACCAGGAGGAACACAGCCUGCAGCUGCAUCCAGACUUCUGACCUCCAGAACUGCAAGCAAAUAAAAGUAUGUGAUUUGGGGCCACCCCGUUUGUGCUCAUUCACUGCUGCCGCAGCCAGAGAAAACCAACACAGAUUUCCACGUUGAGUCUGGGUUUUCCUUUGAGGCUGUGGCUUUUCCUACUGUGAUCGUAGCUCACAGCUGCUGAGUGGGGACAAUGUGUACCAGAUGCUGAGUAGACAUCAUCUCAGUUCUCCCAGUAACCCUGUGGGCCGGGCACUGGCAUUACCCUUAUUCAGGAGAUGGAGGACUAGGCUUGCAACAGUCUGCUGUAACCAGAGGCGGUUUUGAGCCCCAGGGACACUGAGCAAUGCCUGUAGACAUUCAGAUAGUCACAACCAGGUUUGGGGUGCUCCUGGCAUCUAGUGCAGGAGAAGCCAGGGAUGAAUGACAUGUGUGUGUACACAUGUGCAUAUGGGGUGUGUAUGGGGUUGGUGUGUGGCGUGUGUGUGUGUGUCUGUGUGGUGGGGGCCAGGUUAGGGAGAACAGGGGACCUGGCCUCUGCCUCACUUUCCAUCAUGAUCUGCUCCACUGUCCCCCCAAACUGCCUACAUCAGCAAGAGAUGAGAGAGUUACCAGUGUCAUCCCCCUAAAAUUCUACUUUUUCUCACAUUGAUGUCCCCUAUUUCCUGCCCACUAUUAUUGACUGGCACCUCCUCUCUGUUCUCUUCAUGCCUCCCUCCAUCACUGCCUCAGAGCAUACUUUUCUGAUUGGAUGAGGCCCCUGCCGCCAGCUCCGGUACCGAUACAGGUCUCAGCACCAAUGUACACUGGAAAGUGGAAAGUCUGCCCCACCUGAGCAGUGGCUGAGCAGCUUGCUGUUUGCAAAGUGUCACUGCCGGAAAGAAGUGGAUGGCAAGAUGCAUCCUCUACGGGGAUCAUGACCUGACGUGGCCCUCUCGCCUGGUCACCUGGUUAGGCCAAGUCACCAGACAGUCCCUGUGUUCUCACCUGCAAAUUGGGAGUCACUUACUUGAAAUUAAGUAAGAGAUGGAGGAAUCUGUUCCUCCCUCAGAGAUGCAUGAGGUAUUGUGCCACACUGGCUCCUGGCUUCUGGUGACACUGACAUUUCUGGGAUUGUGGCUGCCUUCCUCCCAUCUCUCCCUCUCUUUGUGUGGCCUUCUCUCUCCCAUGUGUCCGAGGGUCAAAUCUCCCUCUGAUUCUCUCUUAUAAAUACUGAUGCUGUUAGGCCCUGCUGGGGUAACCCAAGAUGAUCCUGUCUCAAGAUCCUUAACUCAACUUUUGCCAUUUAAGGGAACAUUCACUCAUAGAACCCUGAAAUUAGGCAACAGAUAUCUUUGGAGGAUCAUUAUUUCAGCCUAGCACAAGGAGGUAGGUACUUUACACAUCUUUACAUUUCAUAUCAAGCCUAAGAAUAGCUAUUAGUUUUGCUGUUUCACAGAUGAGGAAAUUGAGGCUUGGAGACAUUUACUAUGGAAUUUCAGAAAGUUCAUUCCGUUUCUGAGACACCUUGCCAUUUUCAUCUAUAAAAUGAGAAUCGUGCCCUUCCUGACCUAGGCCAGAUGAAAGUAGAGAAUUUUUAUACAAAUUCUUAGCAAAGUAUUAUGCAUUACAGAGAUGCAAGGGGUUAUUUUUUGCCUUGAGUGGAUUUUCUAGAAAGUCUUCACGUGGGAGAGGAGAGAUGACUUGGCUGAGGAUUGUGAGUGAAAUGCCAAAAUAUUUCUAGAAAUCAUCAGUGUCUUAGAGUGCUGAGUCUUCAUUACAAUAGCAAGUGAAAUUCUGAUGUAGAUGCACUUUAAAACAUUCCCUGUUUGAGGAAUCAUGCCUGGAAGCCACUUCCCAAAGAGAGGCAGCAAGAAAUGCUGAAUUCUUUCAAGUUGAAAGUGGGAGAGAUGGCACAUUUUAUUCUUUAGAAUGCUCCUUCUUCGGCUCAUCCUUCUAGGCAUUCUUAACAGGUAUGUUUGAGUUUGAUUGCAUUUGCACCAGGUGCUGUUCACGUCUGUUAACUCUCUGCAGUUUCUGUCAUCUUGGUAAUAGAGAAAGGAUGGUAGGAGCAGCAAGUGAGUGAGAGGUUGCAUAGGUAAGCAGGAAAUUGACUCCAGGAAGAGAAUGGCAGGCACGACAAAGAACAUUUAGGAGGAAGCUAGACGUCUUUAUCAAAAUUGAUUUUUGACUGGACAGGCCUCUGCUCUGCAUACAUGCUAUAUUUAUACAUCUAGAUCAGAUGUGGAAAACAUGGCCACUCAGGACAGAGCCCGGCCAGCACCACAGCAGACAUCACUAAUCAAUCACAGUGACCCAGCUCUCCAGGCACCCACUGCCAGUCAAUGAGCUCUAUCUAUUGCCUAGUACUAUUGUGCUAGUAGAUAAGCCUAGGACAUAAAUUUCACUGCAUUAAUUAACUUACUUAAUUCAAAAGACUUUUUCACCUGCCGUUGUACCCAAUCUUAAGCUGCUUUUUUACUAUUUUAGUGACGCCUGGUGUGUUUGCAACCCAAUAAUACCAGCUACCAAUUGCUUGCUGUGCACCAAGCUCUGUGGAUUGAAUUCUCACAAAUCAUAGUGUUUUAGUUGACUGAACUUCAUUUGAAUAAGUGGAUUUCGGGGAAUAUGUCUGCUGAGAUACUAAACCUUGAUUGCACUGCAGUGCUGGGAUGGAACCGAGGGCCUCGUGCACAAUGGACAAGUGCUUGACCACGGAGCUCCACCUCAGUCCUUUACUGAGCCUUAGACUUUAUCUUCAUGUGCUCUCUAGACAACUCCUGUGUUAACAUUUGAGGCUUGUAUAGGCCAAGCAUCCCUAAUCUGGAAAUCAAAAGUGCUCCAAAAUCCAAAACUUUCUGAGCACUGACAUGCUGCCAUAGUGGAAGUUCAGUUCCUUGUGGCUACGGAACAGAGACCCUGUGUCGUUGCUGGCUGCUCCCCGCUCCGGGCGGCUGCCCACACUCCUUGUCACACAGUUCCUUCUGCCUUCCAGCCAGCGAUGGCACAUGGGCUCCUCGUUCUCAGAAGCUCUGACUUUUCUGUUGCUGACUUUAGAAGCCUUCAAGGGUGGUCCUGCCAAUCCCUGCCACAGCAGCAGCCGUGUUAGUGUGGUUGUAUGUACAGCCCGGGGCAGGAACUCUCACAGGCAGGCUUAGAAGUCUGCCUCCCGCAAGGCUUUUGACCUAAGUGUUAGACCAGGUCUUUUGCUGACCCUGACUUCAAAAUGUUUGAAUGCACAGUUGUGCAAGGAGUUCCCAUAUUGUGGCUGACAUUGAAGAAGAGUUGUUUAAGGUGCGACAUUCUGCAGAUCUAUGGGUACUGCCUACACUGCCUCGUGCUGUUGAUUACUGCAUUGAUGGCUUCAGAAGCUCUCCACGUGUUGAUCAAGACCUUGUUGAACCUUGACAGAGUGAUAAAUUGCAUGCUUGUUUCCCCUCAUGAUUUCGUGGCUCUUUUGAAAGACUACCCCCUUGAUGUGCCCAGGAAAAUUUCCUUUGAUGUGCUAAGUCUGGACAGUUGAGCUUUUAAGGAAUCUAAAGCAGAGAAAAUGAGUACCUGCCCAUCCUGAUGCAGGCUGGCCUCUGUGUUUUCUGCUUGUGGUGAACCUGGGCUGCAAAAAUGGUUUUUAUUCUCAGCCAUCUGGUUCCUCUCACCUGUCAAAUAGCCCAGCUCUCAGAUUCUGACACAAGAAUAAAUUGCCCCCUUGUUAUGUUAAGUAAAAGAAACUAAAGUGUGAAGGAAAACGCCUUUGAAAGAGAGGCCAAGGAAGGAGUUCCUAUUGCCAAGAUUGGUCAAAAGUGGCUGGAAAUCUCUCUCUUUCAAUGCAGCGGGUUUUGACUGGUAUAAAACAGCAUUUUCCAGCAUGUGUCUCUGGGAAACCAGUUUUAUCUGAUGAGUAAUGGGUGUGAGGAGGAAAAGAUUCUCCCGUCACACAGGUUCACCAUGCUACCUCCGUAUCAAUCUCCUGAGGUGAAAUACGAUUGGCUGUGAUCUACAAACCCAUGUAGGGGCUGAUGCUCCUCUGGUUUCCUGUGAAAGAAAUAUUUACAAGAUAAGGGAUCCAAGGAGCACACUUCAGGAAGGGCAGCGUUGAAGGAUAGCUAUGACUUUGAGAAAGUAGGCAUGGGCAGUUGGCGAAUCUGUGUCGCCAAUCCACAGAUGAACCCGUCUCCACAUUUGAGGAGGAACAGAGUCGGAUUGUAGAUGCACACUUGGUGUGUCUUAAAUAUUUCUCAGUAAAAUUAUUUCUUACACUCUUUAUUGACUAUUGAUAUCAUUCUCAGUUUGAGGGUCCCCAAAGUAACCUCAGAGCCUUCAGUAAUAAUUUUCUAUCUAGAGAAUGGUGAAGAGAAUGAAAUGAAUAUUUUGAUUAUGACAUGGGUGCUUUUGGUAUCUUUAUCCUAUUUAAAUUUUGCAAUAACCCUGCUGAUGUAAGGGCUACGACCUGCAGCUCAUAAAUGAAGAUGUGGAAGAUCAGAGAGGUUAAGCAGUUUGCAGAAGGUCACACAGCCUGUAAGUGCCAGCAGGCAUUUGGAGCCAGGAACCCCUGACUUCAAGGCCCCUCCUCUUUCUCAUAUACCACUCUGUUCUUCUGCCCUCAUCAAUGGUAUAUUUUAAUUUGUGUGAUGAGCGAGUGCACUAAAAGUUGGAUGCAGCUCCACCAUUUCAAACUGUUUUAUUUUCCAU